GACAGAGGGUGCAAACGUUGCUCGGAAUCACUGGGCUUAAAGGGCGCGUAGGCGGGCUGUCAAGUCUGGGGUGAAAUCCCGCGGCUCAACCGCGGAACUGCCUCAGAUACUGACGGUCUCGAGGGGGGAUAGGGGCGAGCGGAACUGUGAGUGGAGCGGUGAAAUGCGUUGAUAUUCACAGGAACUCCGGUGGCGAAGGCGGCUCGCUGG
rnacentral:rRNA from 1 species